AAAUAUAGGGGUCUGAUAAUAUAGAUAUAUAAUAUAGACGUUCACUUUAAGGAUUGAUAAUGCACUUUUGUUUGCUUUUUCACAGAUGUUCACAGCUUCUUCGUUUUGUCCUUGGGAAUCAGACAGAAGACUGAUAAGACCAGUUGAAAAUAGACUUUCUAUUAAACCAGUUUGAACUGACCAAAGACUCAUGGAUAAGGUUUUUCUGCCAGUCACGUGAUGUAACCCCCCAUUUAACUGUUCCCAUGCUAUAAAGAAGAUAUGGACUUUGAUUGGACUAAAACUAUACGAUCACACCUUUAUCACGCCUACAAUACAGUUGAUACAUACCCAUAUCUUAUGAAUAUUCAUAUGUAUAAAUUGUUUUCCCCUGUAGUUGUAAGCUCAGAAACACUUUCACUUUUACUCGCUUAUAGUAGCCGAGAUCUGUGUUGUCUUUCUCCAUUGCAAUGUCUUAAUUAAAGCACCUUAUUAUCUUAUCUACCAUCUUAUCUGAUCGUCUUAAUUAAGACCCCCAAAUUGGAUUUAACAGCUGGUGCCUGUGACUCGGAUUCAGUUCCGUUGGACUUCCGACCAAAGAGACGGGAAACCCAUGGUGGGCAGAACCAGUGGCCACGAUCAAGAAAUUGGAACACAUGAUUUACAGCCAGAUGAUUGGGUCCUAAUAAAAGAAUAUGUGAAAGUACCUUUGAGACCAAAGUCUGAAGGACCCUACCAAGUGUUCCUGACAACUGCUACAGCUGUAAAGUGAUGUGGAUACAUGCCAGCCAUUGCAAGAAAGUACAGCUAAUUUCAAAAGAUGAGUAAACUACUGUUAUGCCUUUGCUUGAUCUUAGUCAAGGCUAUAGAGGAAAAUCACCUGUACAAAUUACACAUGCUGACAGGCAUAAGGAGCCAUUUUAGUAAUUGCUAGAUAUGUUCACAUAGGCCAGACAGUUGAAGAAAAAAAAAAGCACACACCUAGUACUCGUUUACUUUCAUUUUGAGUUUAAGCAAUACAAGGCUGCCCAAACUAGUAUGUCAAGAAUAUCACAAAUGUUGUAUUAUUGUGAAAAUACAUUACAUAUAUUUAUGCUAAAUAUAACUUGAGGCCUUUUGGAAUACCUCCUUGUUUAGUAGGGAAAAGAGGUAUACAAUGUGACAUUAUGAUAGGAAAUAUGAAAAACUCAGAUGACACUGUUUAGAUAUGGUAAAUUCUCAUGGCUUCAACAGAUAUGUUUUUGUCCUCAUAGGAAUUAUCGUUAGAGGAUUGCUUGUUUAUUUUUUAUUUUUUUUCAGGUGCGCUAAAUGUGAAAUACAAUGACAGUUAGAUCUGAGGGAGAUGACCCCCAAGGAAGAAAUAGAGUGUUUUCAGAUUGUCAGAUUAGCAAAUUUGUAUGAUACCAAGUUGGGUGAUACGAAUGAGUAAAGAUAUGUAUCCACAUACACCCUAAGAAGAGCUUUACUCCACAUAGAUGUGAAGUAGUACUGUGGACCCUUUGGUGUCAUACUAGGUAGGGAAGAUAUGGUAGUGACCCCAACAUGGGGGCCAAGAGGAGGGAAAUGAGUAAAAUAUAGGGGUCUGAUAAUAUAGAUAUAUAAUAUAGACGUUCACUUUAAGGAUUGAUAAUGCACUUUUGUUUGCUUUUUCACAGAUGUUCACAGCUUCUUCGUUUUGUCCUUGGGAAUCAGACAGAAGACUGAUAAGACCAGUUGAAAAUAGACUUUCUAUUAAACCAGUUUGAACUGACCAAAGACUCAUGGAUAAGGUUUUUCUGCCAGUCACGUGAUGUAACCCCCCAUUUAACUGUUCCCAUGCUAUAAAGAAGAUAUGGACUUUGAUUGGACUAAAACUAUACGAUCACACCUUUAUCACGCCUACAAUACAGUUGAUACAUACCCAUAUCUUAUGAAUAUUCAUAUGUAUAAAUUGUUUUCCCCUGUAGUUGUAAGCUCAGAAACACUUUCACUUUUACUCGCUUAUAGUAGCCGAGAUCUGUGUUGUCUUUCUCCAUUGCAAUGUCUUAAUUAAAGCACCUUAUUAUCUUA